GGUCCCUGUUGGCUCAAAAAUUUUUCUUCCUGUGAUACAAAGAAGAUGAGCAUGGCCCCUGUACAGAGAUGACAUGUGAAUUCGUGAAGUGUUCCAUAUUUUU
ensembl:snRNA U6 U6 spliceosomal RNA